rnacentral:rRNA from 1 species
ACGUGGUUCCGAACGACCACAGGCUGUCGACUGGCUGAGGUUAAACGGCCGCGGUAUCCUGACCGUGCAAGGUAGCAUAAUCACUUGUUCCUUAAUUAGGGACUAGCAUGAAUGGCUAGACGAGGGUUCUACUGUCUCUUAUUCUCAAUCAGUGAAAUUGACCUUCCAGUGAAGAGGCUGGGAUAGUAAAAUAAGACGAGAAGACCCUAUGGAGCUUAAAUUAACUAGCUUAACUAUUAUAAUGGAACCUAAUGGACUAAACAUAAAAUUUAAUAAGCUAGCAAUUUUGGUUGGGGUGACCUCGGAGAACAAAAAAUCCUCCGAAUGAUUUUAGCAUAGACUAACAAGUCAAAGCAACUACUCAAAUCUUAUUGACCCAAUUUUUAUUGAUCAACGGACCAAGUUACCCUAGGGAUAACAGCGCAAUCCUAUUUAAGAGUUCAUAUCGACAAUAAGGGUUUACGACCUCGAUGUUGGAUCAGGACAUCCCAAUGGUGCAGAAGCUAAUUAAUGGUUCGUUUGUUCAACGAUUAAAGUCCUACGUGAUCUGAGUUUCCAACCCGGA